UUCUAGUUGAAUUCGUCGUAUUGUAUCUAAACACAUUUCGUUGACUUGAAGAUACCUUGUCGAGUAUAGAUAACGAAUAAAUUCUAUCUAGCGUCCAAGUCGGCCGAAAAAUGUAUUUUUCAAAUGUAUGUACAUAUAUAUAUAUAUAUAUAUAUAUAUGUAUAUUGCAAUAUUACGAUUUUGAAGGUUACGAGAAAUAUGCGAUUUACGAGACAUCUAGCGAUAAAUUGAAUGAAGUUACCAUUAUGCUUGUAAGGUUAUUUAGUUCGAAGCGUGUACGAUUUUAGCGACAAAUAUGGACAAAAUGUGAACUAUAAGCGAGCUAUGGAAUACUAACCCCACUUAUAAUUCCUAUAGUAUCGGAACAUGAGCUGCGUAAAUUAUACUCCUACAAGUAAUCAACAUUCAAGAUAGUGACAGAGAUUUUUGUACGUAGUAAAAAUAAUAGUACAUCUAACAAAAGUCCAACCGCGAGGAGGUUGCUGCAUCUGAGGACCCACGAGCUAACGGUGACUCUACUCUAAAAUUCGCGUGACCGGCGUGAUCAAAUAAUCGACGUUCUAUAAAACGAAGUCCUCGGUAGGACUUAAUCGCGCCCGAACACUCCCGGGAGUGUUAGACUUACGGUGACUCUAUUCUAAAUUCGCGUUCGCGGCGUCCACGUACCAACCGAGACUUCAGGCGGCUAACUGGAGGAGGGUCAGUCCACGCUUACGGAUAGCAAAACCAUACCACUCGGCAGCACACGAACCGACACACGACCGGUCAUUAUUCGGUUUAGCAAUCAAACGAAGUCCAUUAUCGUUGAACUUAUAAUCGCGCCCGAGAACACCACGCCUGUGCCCGUCGACAGACGCGCGAGUGUUCUUCCUAUCCUACCCGUAUCCCGCGCGGAUAUAUCGAGAUUCGCGAAGAAGAGGGAAAGAUGAAGAGAAAGAAGAAGAGAAGAAGAGAAAGAGAAGAAGAGAAGAAGCAAAUGAGAAGAGAAGAAAACAAGAGUGUGCGCACACGUGAGAAGGAUGAAGCAGAAAAGAAAGGAAAGAAAAGAAUAUCCGUAAGAUGCAAUGGAACAUAGGCCCCUGUGAAAAAGAUGAAAUUGGAAAGAAAAUAUGGACAUGGAAAAGAAAAGAAAAGAAAAGACAUACCCGAGCAAAACCAGAGUACGAAAAUCCAGCUCGAUUAUUCGGUACUGAAGGAAGGAGACCCGCACAGAAGCCCACGCCCAAGGGCCCAUCCCAACGGACCCACCCGACAGAAACUAUAAUGAUUAAUUAUUAUAAAAUUAUAUUUUUGAAUAAAUAAAAAUGAAAGAGCGCA